rnacentral:rRNA from 1 species
GGAGGUUACUGCUAUCGGUGUUCGCCUAACCCAUGCGAGUCAUAUGUUCUUCGUGAACAUGGCGUACUGCUCAGUAACACGUGAAUAACCUGCCCUUGGGACCGGCAUAACCCCGGGAAACUGGGGAUAAUUCCGGAUACCGCAUAUAUGCUGGAAUGCUUUAUGCGUGAAAUGGAUUCGUCUGCCCAAGGAUGGGUCUGCGGCCUAUCAGGUAGUAGUGGGUGUAAUGUACCUACUACCCUACAACGGGUACGGGUUGUGAAAGCAAAAGCCCGGAAAUGGAUUCUGAAACAUGAAUCCAGGCCCUACGGGGCGCACCAGGCGCGAAAACUUUACAAUGCGGGAAACCGUGAUAAGGGGACACCGAGUGCCACCAACAUUUGUUGGCUGUCCAGGUGUGUAAACUACACCUGUUAGCAAGGGCCGGGCAAAACCGGUGC